UACGGAGGAUGCGAGCGUUAUCCGGAUUUAUUGGGUUUAAAGGGUGCGUAGGCGGUCCGUUAAGUCAGCGGUAAAAUCGCGGGGCUCAACCUCGUCGAGCCGUUGAAACUGGGUGCCUUGAGUGGGCGAGAAGUACGCGGAAUGCGUGGUGUAGCGGUGAAAUGCAUAGAUAUCACGCAGAACCCCGAUUGCGAAGGCAGCAUACCGGCGCCCGACUGACGCUGAGGCACGAAAGUGCGGGUAUCGAACAGG
rnacentral:rRNA from 1 species